rnacentral:ncRNA from 1 species
GUAAGCCGUAUGAGGGAAAACUUCACGUACGGUUUGAUGAAGGAGGGGGGCUUAUAGUUUUCUCAAAAUGAUUACAUUUAUAAUUAUUUAAACUGAGAGAGUUAUCAGGCUCUACUCUAU